UGUCUCUUACAGGCGAUCGGUGAAAUUGAUCUCCCUGUGCAAAAGCAGGGAUAACCACAUAAGACGAGAAGACCCUGUGGAACUUCAAAAACAGCAACCACCCCAAUUCACAUUCACCCCCACCCCGGGCUCACUGACCCCUAAAGCACUGGUUUGCAUUUUUUCGGUUGGGGCGACCUUGGAGCAAAACAAAACCUCCAAAAACUGGACCAUCCCUCCAGACUGAGAGCAACUUCUCAACGUGCAAAUAGCAACCAGACCCAAUACAAUUGAUCAAUGGACCAAGCUACCCCAGGGAUAACAGCGCAAUCUCCUCCGAGAGUCCAUAUCGACGGGGAGGUUUACGACCUCGAUGUUGGAUCAGGACAUCCUAGCGGUGCAGCAGCUGCUAAGGGUUCGUUUGUUCAACGAUUAACAGUCCUACGUGAUCUGAGUUCAGACCGGAGCAAUCCAGGUCGGUUUCUAUCUAUGAAGAACUCUUCCUCGUACGAAAGGAUCGGAAAAGUGAGGCCAAUACCACAAGCAAGCCUUCGCCUUAAGUAAUGAAGCCAACUCAAUUACAAAAGGCUAUCACACCACACCACGUCCAAGAAAAGG
rnacentral:rRNA from 1 species